rnacentral:tRNA from 1 species
AAAAAGUUAGUUUAAACAAAAACAUUAGUUUGUCAAACUAAAGAUAUUUAUAAAUAAUACUUUUUA